rnacentral:tRNA from 2 species
GCGCGAUUGGUGGAAUUGGUAGACACGCAGCGUUGAGGUCGCUGUGCCGCAAGGCGUGCGAGUUCGAGUCUCGUGUUGCGCACCA